rnacentral:lncRNA from 1 species
UCCUUGUUCAACCAUCUCGACACCCGCACAACACCGUAACACCCUCCGAACCACUUUCACCCUCAUUGUUCGAUAGAAAGUUGCCGGAGAAACCUGGAAGUCGCCGGAACCGUACGGAGAUCGACGAAGCUCUUUUCUUUCGUUUCGUCAAAGAAGAUAAUACGACCACGUAAAAUCACCGGAGCUCGAAGACGACAUCACGAUGGAACUCGUAAACCAGCAGCAUCGGUUAUCCGUUUCGUUCAUUCGGUUCCCCAAUCGCUACUCGUGCGUUAUUACAAGAAAUCGCAACGCAACAAUGUGAGUAUACUCGAUCCCAUUUUCGUUUUAAACACUUUUGGGUGCAACAUGUAUUCUAUACAAAAACACGCCACGUUUGAAUCUUGUUUUUAUCACACUCUAUCCACAUUUAAACAUGAAACAGUUUGAUGCUUGUAAACUCAUAUGAUGCAAGUUGAACGUGUUAAUCGCAAUGCCCUUGAGUCUUGGGGGUAUUGCGAUGUUGAACGAUAUUUGAACGAUAUUUGAACGAUGUUGAACGAUAUUUGAACGAUAUUUGAACGAUAUUGAACGAUGUUGAACGAUAUUGAAUGGCAAAGUAGUAACUUGUAUCAUUGUAUUCAUGUUGGAUAUUGAGCAACUUCAAAACUUGUUUUAUUCUACUAUGCUAUGUAUCAAACUUGUAUACUCGCCAACUUUUGCUGAUUUUAUUUUAAUACAUGUUGCAGGUUGAUAUCAAGAUUCAAGAAAACAAGCUAGGAUGGCAUUAGAAACCCAUUUUAGCAAUUAAUUAAUGUUUGGAUUUAUGUUUGAAUAUUUGAGACUUUGUACUACUUUUCUAGUUUAAUAAAAUGAUUUUAUUCAUAUUGUCACAAUUAGUGUUAUGUUGUUUUGAGCAAUUUGUUCGUCUCAUCCCGAUGUUUCCGCCAUCGGUUGGGGUGUGACAGAUUGGUAUCAGAGCCAUAACUAUAGGUGUAACAUCCCGAAAUUUCAAAACUUUAUACUAGAAUUAUAAAAUGUAUAAUAAACAAGAAUAAACUAACUAGGAUAAAUAACCUAGUUAGUUAAGAGUCCUGUAGUAACACUUAAAUGAGUUAAAAGGCCAAGAAUAUAAACUAAAUAAGAGUGGAGGGACUAAAGUUGUUAAAAUAGAAACUUAAAUUACUAAAAUCGUAAAAAUCAACCAAACACCCCAUUCAAGAGGUGUCUGGUCGAUCAACAAGCAGGGGCGACAGGGGAUUUCUUCACCCAAACCCUAAUUUGCAAGAAAAUCACAAAUUGGAGCCUCAAAUCAGUUAGAAAUCGAAAUUCAAGCACUGAAUCGUGAUCACCUUGUCAAAGGGAUCCUAAGGUAUGUUGAAUUAGGUCAUUUUCGUUCGAUUCAAAGUUCAUGUAUGUGAUCAAAAUCGGAUGUAGAGCUUGAUUAUGUGUAGUAAACAUGAAAUUGGAAGUAAAGUAAGGUUUAGGGACAAACCCUAGAUGAUUUCUUGUUAAAAUCUUGCAUGUUAGUUGUAGGAAUCAAAAUCACUAUAGUGGGUGAUUAGUAAGUUAGUAGAACUUGAUAAACACUAGGACUAAGACUCUUGUUCUAGUGAAAACUGAAAUUGUGAGAUAAUCUCUGAAAUUGUUGAUGUUAAAAUAUGUGUAUAUUGUCUAAUUGAAGUUGAUUUGAGUGAUAAAUUCAAGUUAUGAACUUGGUAUAGAUCAUGUAAAAAUCUGACCCGCAAGGUGUUUGAUAAAACACCUAAAUGAGGAUUAAAAUGUUAAAGAUUGCUAAGAACGCAGAUUUACAUAUGUAAUGAAUGAAUGCGUUAAAGCUUAUGAAAAAGAGUUCUAAUCUUUUAUGAAUUGGACUCUUUAGGCAAGGAAUCCGGAACGUCAAGUGGACACGCCGGAGGUGAUACCCGCGGAAAAGGUGUGCUUUGAAGGUACGUGACUUUAGUCUCGUCGAAUUAAGUCUAAUUGCUUUGGUUUGAUAUGUAAUUGAUGUUGUAGUGUAAAGGAUGCGUUUGAUGUGUCGAUAAGUGACGAAGUGCACUCGACUAUCAAACGGGUCAAAAUAAGAACUCGGUAUUUAGUUGGGUCAGUCAAUGAAGUGAUGGUUUUCACUAAUUGGCAAAACGGGUCAAAAUGAUGUUUUCAAAAGAGUCACGAGAGUUGCGACUUGAAAGUCUCAUACCUUGUUAAAUGAUAAAUUGUACCAUACUAAUGAUUUGGUAAUGGCGAAUCUAAGUAUAAGAACCCGGGAUAUGGGUCGAACAAUAAUGUUAAAGGAAAAAGGAUUGUUUGAAACGGAAUGCUUGAAUUCCGAAUAAUCAAGUAAUAGCCAUAGAGGAAUUUCAAAGCCAUGGAAUUGGCGUGAAAACACCAAGUAUGUGAGCCCGGGUAAUUGGGUAAAUAUGUUAAAAGGGUUUAAGAAUGAAAAGAGGUGCUAUGCACUCAUACUAAUGGGUCGAAUAAUGGAAAUAAGGAAAUUCGUGAACCAAUUUGUGGUAUCUCGGUUUCCGCAAUGUAAAAUUUACAUGGUUAAGUCCGAAGUUUUAUUACGGACUCAUAGCAAGAAGAAUUGGUUGAAUCGGAUCAAUGAGUAAAGAGUUAUGAGCUUCUAAAGUUGAAAAAUAGCCAAAGUGCAAAUGUGCAGAACCCACCGUAAAUUACGGUUCCACCGUAAUUUACGGUGGACAACAAUGUGUUACGGUGUUUUGCUACUGUUUUAUGGCAGAACCAUAACAUUUCCAGGUCCACCGUAAUUUACGGUGAUACCGUAAUUUACGGUGGAACCCAGUAAAAAUUUAUAUUUUAUAGUCACUUGUGUUGUUAAAACCUGUUUAUACAUUAUAUAUUAAAGUCAAAACUAACGGUUUUUAGUGUUUGACUCUAGGUAUGAAUGAAUCUCUCCCGGAUGAUGAUCAAGCACUUUGUCAAGAACCGAACAUGCAAUUUGAAGCUUCCGCACUGAAUAUAAUCUUGUCUAAACUUUAAAUAUGUCAUAAAGAUUUUUUGUUAAUGGUGUUUUGAAUCCUUUAAACUAGUUGUUAGUUGACUAGUAGGGGUUGCCUUUAAAUGAAUUAUGCAUUAUCUUGAACAUGCUUGGAAAAAUUCUACUAGUGUGUAUGGUUUAAAACACGAAAUGCUUUUGUAAACUCUGAUUUUUAUAAAGUUUCAUGAAAUAUUUAGUUAAAUUAUGUUAAAUUAUUAAGGGUGUUACAAGUUGGUAUCAGAGCUUAAGGUUGUCAACAAAAGUGUUCGGUUCAAGCUUGAUCGAUCGUCCGGUAAGAGUUAACUUAUUAUGUUAACAAAUUAUGUUCUAUAUGUGAAUAAGAAAGAAAUUAAAGGGCAUGGGAAGAGUGUGUUAACACACUCAAACCCGGGAAGUGCACCAAAUUUAAACGGUUAAAGCAAGUUGAGAACUUGACUAAACCAAAACAAAAGAAGCUAUGUUAUAAACGAAAUGUUUAACGUUUAAAUGUAAACAUUUCAGUUUCAAAGAUGACGGAUAAGGGAAAUGACGAAGCGGUGCCAAGAGUCACCGAACAAAUGAGAGAAGUGAUUGCUGAAGAGGUAGGAAAAGCAAUCGAGAAUAGUUUGUCGGGUUUCAUCGAUAAAAUCCAAACCACGGUGUUAUCAGUGGUGGAUGAAAGGAUAAAGAAACUGGAGGAUAAUGCAAAUUUAGCCAAGGAGAAAUUGGUAGAGCGUAAGGGCUGCUCGUACAAAGAAUUUAUGGCAUGCAAACCACCACUCUACAACGGAGAAGUGGAUCCGAUAGUGUGCCAAAGGUGGUUAAGUGAUAUAGAAGGGGUAUUUGAGAGAACCCACUGUGACGCGAAUGACUUCGUGGCGUAUGGCACGGGUCAACUGAGAGGUCAAGCAAAAGACUGGUGG